rnacentral:tRNA from 2 species
GCCGGAGUGGCGGAAUUGGUAGACGCGCUGGAUUCAAAAUCCAGUAUUGGCAACAGUGUGCGGGUUCGAGUCCCGCCUCCGGUA